GUCUAUGGCCAUACUACCCCGAACACACCUGAUCUCAUCUAAUCUUGGGAGCUAAGCAGAGUUGGGCCUGGUUAGUCCUUGAACAGGGAGAAUUAGAUG
rnacentral:rRNA from 1 species